AAGAGAACAUCUGCACCGGCACCCAUGGAGAUUCCACCGCAGCAGCCUCUUCCCAUCCUGCCGUAUGGACUCGGCACCUGGUUUCCAACUCCACCUACGCAGUCAACGUCCAGUGCACCAUGGUGGUGCGCCGGGCAUCAGCAACUAGGCUUUGGCGGGAUCGUCUCCUCAAGGCUCUUCAUGGAUGCCUCCUCCCUCUGCAUCUUCUCAGGCUAUGGCUGAGAAUGAUGAUGACUCAAAAGUGCAGGCAUGGGGACCAAAUCCUUACACUCCUGGUGGUUUCAUGACUUUUAUGAAUAGCACAGCAAGCCCUGAAAAACGCAUGGGAGUAAAUCGCAAGCAAUCAAUAUUGCUGAUGAUGACAAUGGAGGCAAGUGUGGUAGGACUGAAAAACGCAUGCUAUGGACAAAACUGGAGGAUCUGAGAUUGGUUAGUGCUUGGAUAAAUAGCUCAAAUGAUCCUGUCCAGUCCAACUACAAGAAAAAUGAUUAGUACUGGAAAGGUGUCACUGAUAUCUACAACAGCACAACCCCAAAAAACCGUGUAAGGCAAAUCAAGCAAAUCAAGGAUCACUUUGCAAGAAUUAAGAAAAGGGUUGCAUGGUUUUGUGGUUGCUGGAAGGAGGCCAAUGCUCUAUGGGCUAGUGGUGAAUCAGAUGCAGAUAUUGAGGAUAAGGCAAUGAAAUCUUAUGAAAAA